rnacentral:lncRNA from 1 species
AAUUCUCCAGGCAUACACACACAUACGCACAUCUUAUUUUCACUGCUCUACACAGGGACCUGAGAAUCCUUAAUUUUAAAGUUGGGAAAAACGUGAAAGGAUUCCUUAACUCAUUGUCUGCGACAAAUCCAACUACCUGUUAACUCUUAACAAUUGCAAGUAUAAAAUACUUGAAAUUUACAAGAUGCUCCAUUUAAUGGAACAACUCAAAUGCUAAAAAAUUAGGUCAAAUAACAUGCUUUAAUAUUUUUAAAUGUUACUUAAAACUUAUUGAGACAAGAUACGCAGCACAUUCUUGGUAUUAUAAACUCCUACUGACGACUGCUACUUGAUGGCCAAAAACAUUUAAAGAAAGAGAAGAAACCAUACUGGUAUACAACAAUAUCUGCAGGGAAUGUCAUGUUUUACAUUUUGUUAACUGAAAUUAAACCUGACAAAAAAACCAAAGAUCUACAAAACCGACACCCAUGUCAUUUUAAAUGAUGAGGUAGAUUGUUUCCUAUGCAGUAAAGUGAAGAUAACAAAAAAAUCCAUACAACUUCCAAAUCCUCUUUAAAAAAAAAAAAAAGUUUGGGUUAUAGUCACUUUCACAAACAAGACAUUCAUAAACUAUAAGGUGGAGAGGUCAUACUCAGGCAGGUUCUGUACUUGAUGUGUUACUUGGAGAUUCAAUAAUCAGUCUUGGGUCAAUCAACUCUUUCCAAAAUACAGUGAUCUGAGGAAAAAGACAAAAUACCCAGUUUAGGCACUUCAUUUUGAGGUCAUACCGGUUAAUUCAGCCACGUAAAUUUUCCGUCUGUGUAGAAUGAUUGAAGAACGGGAAUAAUUUGGGUUCCAAUAAACUGAGUUCAAUUGCAGUAUAGUAACUCUUUAGGCCAGGCGCUGUGGCUCACACCUGUAAUCCCAGCAAUUUGGAAGGCCGAGGGGGAGAAAUGCUUGAGCCCAGGAGUUCAAGAUCAGCCUGGGAAACCUAGUGAGACCCCAUCUCUAUUAUUUUUUUUAAUUAAAAAACAAAACAAAAAAAAAGAGGCCAGGCAUGGUAGCUCACGCCUAUAAUCCUAGCACUCUGGGAGGCCAAGGCAGUCGGAUCAUCUAAAGUCAGGAGUUCAAGACCAGCCUGGCCAACCUGUGUCUCUGCAAAAAUACAAAAAUUAGCCGGGCAUGGUGACGCAUGCCUGUAGUCCCAGCUACUCGGAAGGCUGAGUCAGGAGAAUCGCUUGAACCCAGUAGGUGGAGGUUGCAGUGAGCGGAGAUCGCGCCACUGCACUCCAGCCUGGGUGACAGAGUGAAACUCUGUGCUGGGAAAAUAAAUAAAUAAAUAAAUAAAUAACUCAUUUACUUAGAAUGAAGCUAAAUUUUACAUUAAACAUAUUUCAUCUUUCUUUGAUUAAGAGCAGGAGAUGCAGGGGUUGCGGGAGGGAGUAGCUCCCCCAACCCCUGCAUUUGAUUUGCCCUGUGGACAGGUGGCCUGGAGACCUUCUGGCAACUAGACAUGGUCCAGAUGGGUAUCAUUAGGCUGCUGAUGCCCUUUUGCGCCGCUCUGUAGUUCUUAUCCUACACUACCUAAAAACAGGAACUAUUUCACAGCCCACCAAGAGAAAAACUCUAAGGCUUGGUCCUAUGAAUGAAUAAUGAGGGCCAUCUAGUGUCAAAAAAGGUAAUUACAGGCUUUUUGUUUUUGAGAUAGGGUAUCACGUCUAUAGUCCAGGCUGGAAUGCAGUGGCAUUCAGGACUCACUGCACCUUCCACCUCCUGGGCUCAAGCGAUCCUCCUGCCUCGCCCCCACCACCCCCAAAGGUGGCUGAGGCAAGAGAAUGGUGUGAACCCGGGAGGCGGAGCUUGCAGUGAGCGGAGAUCACGCCACUGCACUCCAGCCUGGGUGACAGAGCUAGACUCUGUCUCAAAAAAAAAAAAAAAAAAAAAAGGUAUAAACCAUAUACUUCCCAAAAUGGCAAUUUAAGGAUUUAAAGAAAGUCAGAGGAUGAGAUCAUCAUUUUAUGUCACUCUUCAAACUGUUGUGCUAUUAUAAGUUGGAACUCUC